UACGAGGGGGGCGAGCGUUGUUCGGAAUUAUUGGGCGUAAAGGGUGCGUAGGCGGUUCCGCAAGUCCUGUGUGAAAUCUUCGGGCUCAACUCGAAGUCUGCACGGGAAACUGCGGGGCUUGAGUGUGGGAGAGGUGAGUGGAAUUCCCGGUGUAGCGGUGAAAUGCGUAGAUAUCGGGAGAACACCUGUGGCGAAAGCGGCUCACUGGCCAUAACUGACGCUGAUGCACGAAAGCUGGGGGAGCAAACAGG
rnacentral:rRNA from 1 species